UACGGGGGGAGCAAGCGUUGUUCGGAUUUACUGGGCGUAAAGGGCGCGUAGGCGGCCACCGCAAGUCGACUGUGAAAUCUCCGGGCUUAACCCGGAAAGGUCAGCCGAUACUGCGGGGCUAGAGUGCAGAAGGGGCAACUGGAAUUCUCGGUGUAGCGGUGAAAUGCGUAGAUAUCUGGAGGAACACCGGUGGCGAAGGCGGCAUCCUGGGACAACACUGACACUGAGGAGCGAAAGCCAGGGGAGCAAACGGG
rnacentral:rRNA from 1 species